GACGAACGCUGGCGGCGGGCUUAACACAUGCAAGUCGAACGAAGUGGCGGACGGGUGAGUAACGCGUAAUAAACUUGCCCUUCAGAGGGGGUCAACAGUUGGAAACGACUGCUAAUACCGCAUACUGAUGGGGGGGAAUGAGUCGGAUUAGCUGGUUGGGGGGGUAACGGCCCACUAGGGCGAGGAGCAGUAGCCGGUAUGAGAGGAUGACCGGCCACAGUGGGACUGAGACACGGCCCAGACUACGACGGUAGGCAGCAGUGGGGAAUAUUGUGCAAUGGACGAAAGUCUGACCAAGCAAUGCCGCGUGAAUGAAGAAGGUUUUCGGAUCGUAAAGCUCUUUCAGUAGAGAAGCGUUACCUAACGAGAAAGCCACGGCUAACUCCGUGCCAGCAGCCGCGGUAAUAC
rnacentral:rRNA from 1 species